GCAUCGUUGGUCUAGGGGUUAGGAUCCAACCCUUCCAUUGGUACUCCACAAUGGUCGCUAGGUUGGGGCUCGGGUUCGAGUCCCGAACGAUGCA